rnacentral:rRNA from 1 species
GCAGUGGGGAAUAUUGGACAAUGGGCGCAAGCCUGAUCCAGCCAUGCCGCGUGAGUGAUGAAGGCCUUAGGGUUGUAAAGCUCUUUUGUCCGGGACGAUAAUGACGGUACCGGAAGAAUAAGCCCCGGCUAACUUCGUGCCAGCAGCCGCGGUAAUACGAAGGGGGCUAGCGUUGCUCGGAAUCACUGGGCGUAAAGGGCGCGUAGGCGGUCUUUUAAGUCGGGGGUGAAAGCCUGUGGCUCAACCACAGAAUUGCCUUCGAUACUGGGAGACUUGAGUUCGGUAGAGGUUGGUGGAACUGCGAGUGUAGAGGUGAAAUUCGUAGAUAUUCGCAAGAACACCGGUGGCGAAGGCGGCCAACUGGACCGACACUGACGCUGAGGCGCGAAAGCGUGGGGAGCAAACAGGAUUAGA